rnacentral:rRNA from 1 species
UACAGAGGGUGCGAGCGUUGCUCGGAAUUACUGGGCGUAAAGCGAGCGCAGGCGGCCGAUUAAGUCAGAGGUGAAAGCCCGGGGCUCAACCCCGGAAAUGCCUUUGAAACUGGUAGGCUUGAAUGCAGGAGAGGGUCGCGGAAUUCUUGGUGUAGAGGUGAAAUUCGUAGAUAUCAGGAAGAACACCAGUGGCGAAAGCGGCGACCUGGCCUGACAUUGACGCUCAUGCUCGAGAGCGUGGGGAGCAAACAGG